GCUAGUAAUCGCAGAUCAGCAUGCUGCGGUGAAUACGUUCCCGGGUCUUGUACACACCGCCCGUCACACCAUGGGAGCCGGGAAUGCCCGAAGUCAGCGGCCCAACCGAAAGGAGGGAGCUGCCGAAGGUGAAGCCAGCGACUGGGGUGAAGUCGUAACAAGGUACC
rnacentral:rRNA from 1 species